rnacentral:lncRNA from 1 species
GUCAGGAAGAGGAAACAGCAGCUGCGGAGCUGGACUUGAUGGAAGGGAGCAUUUGCGUGCGGCGCGCAGGGCACUGAGUCACCAUCGUGGCCGCGUCCUCGCGCUCUCCUAGCGAUUUCUCCGGAGAAAGCGGAGCAAGGUCAGCCGGGCAGCCCUUCAAGGACGGCGCGCGCCGCUCCUGCAUGCUGAUGGCCUGCGGGGCUGCCUGCCCGCGCCCCGGCGCCCAACUCCUGCAAGGAAGAAAUUCAGGGGCUGCCCGCCCCCGCCACAGGCCUCUUCCCCCUCCCCAGCUGCAACUCGGCAGCCGUUCGUCAAAGACCCUGUUGUCACCGAGACACUGGGACCUUGUCUCAUCCUUGGAACCACUCGUAAAUCUUAGGUCAGGCAGCCGGCAGCCUUCGGGGACCACAGUCCCCCCAAAGCUUUAGGAAGCCAGUUACUACAUCCGGAAAGAUUCGUGCUUCAGAACGCAAGCCAGGGAGAAUAAUCACAGAAACGCAAUGCGAAUGUCGUGCCUCUCAGAAAUUCUUAGUCUGAAAUACCGUCCCCACCCCCCAACCCGGCCAGGCGACAGUCCUGUCAUCCUGACACCGCAGAGGCUCCAAGCGCUGGGAGUCGCGUGCCCGCGGCGCUCGCCACUGAGGCCGGUUGGAAGAUUCUAGGGUGCCCCUUCCCAGGUUCCAGCAGGCACUCCGGGAGGUUCUAGAGUCAGGCCAGGGAUUCAACCGCGAACCUGACCGAAACUCAAACCUCAGCACAAGAACUUUGAUGGGGGAAGUGCCCAGACUCCAAUACCCUCGACCUUGGCAUUUAGUAGUUUCUUCUUUGAAUUGGAAAGAUCAAAUAAUGCACAGUAAAAUCUCAUGAUAAGGGUUCCACCAAGAAUUCGGGAUUUGUGUUAAUUCAUAAGGCAGAAGUGGCCCCUGUGCUAUCCAUGAAGAGUUUCUGUAUUUCUCUGCAAGGUCACAGGUAGGCUUUUUAACCAAUUAAAGAAAAUCUCCAACAUUUAGAGGGCCCAUUAUUAUAAUAAUUCCUGUAUUUGUUUGCUGUCUGGCACAUAAAAACGUGCUUCACUUGCAUAUAUUAAUGAAUUUUCACCUCCUAGCCCCUGGCUAACCCAUUUUACAGCUGAAAGGACUAAAGCAACAGAUGCCCAAAGUAACUCACCUAGCAACCAGUCUUGGGAUUCUGAGAUGAGAUUCUUUCUCCCACACACACAGGCAGGCUGGCUUCUUGGGAGUGGGACUUGUUCAUUUGUCCCCAUCACCACCAUUGAUUUUGACUGAUUGCUCCACUCUUGCUGUCUUCAAACUUUUGAACAAGGGGGUUUGCAUUUCUCUUUGCACUGGGCCAAAUUAUGAGGUAGGUCCUACACACAGGCUCCAAGUUGACAGUACUAAUUUUUCACUAAUUUUUCUCUACUUGGUGCUCAAGUGUAGAGUUUGAGGGGUACUAUCAUCUUCACUCCAGGCAAGGCACUGUUGUUUCUUUUGUAUUCCUGCUUAUUCUCCACCCCAUCAGGUGCUCACUCUGAUACCUGUCUUUGAGUGCUGUUUUCUUGGAAAAACAAAACAAAUCUAUUUUCAAGAAAUGAAUCCAAAUUAUCCUAAGAACUUUUUAAUUGCAAUAUAAUGCAUUUACAGAAAAGUACACAAAUCAUAAAUGUUCAGGUCGCUGUGUUUUCACAAGCUGAACACACCCAUGUAACCAGUACACAGAUCAAUUAUCGGCCCCCAGGAGUCCCCUCAUGUUCCUUUCUGGUUACUAUGUACUCAAGAGUAACCACUGUUCUGAAUUCUAACCCCAAAGAUCAGUGCUUCCUGUUUUGUGUUUUAUAUAAAUGCAAUUAUACAUUAUAUAUUAUUUUGUGUCUGCCUUCUUUUGCUUAACGUUGCUAUGAGAUUUAUCCAUGCUGUUGCAUGUGGUGGGCAGAAUUACAAGAAGACCCCCAAGAUUCCUCACCCCUUCUUGUAUGCACAUUCCCGUAGGUAUUGAUCUAGGCGCUGCUGUGAAGGGAAUUUGCAGAUGUAAUUGGCCUAAAUCAGUUGGCUUUAAUAUCAGGAAAUUGUCCUCAGUGGGCAUGGCCAUAUGGAGCCCUUACAAGGGACUGGGCUCUUCCUGGUGAAAAAUAUUUGAAUCACGAGAGUGGCUGAUAUGAGGGAAAUUCUUUGCUGUUGCCUUCGAAGACAGAAGAGGUCCACAAGGCAAAGGAUGCAGACAGCCUGUAGGAGCUGAGACUGGCUCCUGGCUGACAGCCAGCAAGGAAAUGAGGACCUCAGUCCUCCAAUCAUGAAGCAGACACCGACUUCUGCUAACAACCUGAAUACACUUCAAAGAGGAUUCUGAGCUCCAGCCGCCUACACAUUGAUUUCAGCUGUUGGGACCCUCAGCCGAGAACCCAGCUAUGCCGUGCCCAGAUGUAAGACCUACACAUCUGUGAGCUUUCUAGUUAACAAGAUGGAGGAAGAGAUAAAGAAGGACAUUCCCCAAAGUCUCACAGAACUCUUCUGCUCACAUCUCAUUGGCUAACAUGAAUCACAUGGUGAACCUGGAUGCAGGGAGGCUGAAGAAGACAGUCAUCUUGCUGGGCAGAAGGAAAGGAAGGAGGACCUAUGAACAGUGGUGGGUUCCAUGUCAGGGGCUUGCCAGCCACAAGGAAAGGUCAGAAAUUCCCAGAAUUUCAGUUCUGAAAUCUGUAUGUUGACCCAGACUCUUGGGAAUUUU